AAGUCGUAACAAGGUUUCCGUAGGUGAACCUGCGGAAGGAUCAUUACCACGUCUCGACGUAUUCACCCCCUGUGCACUUAUUCUCCCUCGCUACUUCCAAGUAGACGAGUUGGACAAGCAUACUUUCUCAUCAUGCAGUUCUUUCAGAGCGUGUGAUGAGAGAUGUGUGUUUGUUCCCUUUCCAUUCUCAUUUCUCCCCUUCUCUUUAUUUGUUGUGUGUCGUUUUGCUACUUGACUUGUCGAGUUCAUUUCGUCGUUGUGUUGUCUUUAACAAUACUGAAACAACUCUUAGCAAUGGAUAUCUUGGUUCUCGC
rnacentral:misc_RNA from 1 species